UACUACACCGUAUUCUGUGAGUUGCGAACGGGUGAGUAACGCGUAGGUAACCUGCCUGGUAGCGGGGGAUAACUAUUGGAAACGAUAGCUAAUACCGCAUAAGAACAUUUACUGCAUGGUAGAUGUUUAAAAGGUGCAAAAGCAUCACUACCAGAUGGACCUGCGUUGUAUUAGCUAGUUGGUGAGGUAACGGCUCACCAAGGCAACGAUACAUAGCCGACCUGAGAGGGUGAUCGGCCACACUGGGACUGAGACACGGCCCAGACUCCUACGGGAGGCAGCAGUAGGGAAUCUUCGGCAAUGGGGGGAACCCUGACCGAGCAACGCCGCGUGAGUGAAGAAGGUUUUCGGAUCGUAAAGCUCUGUUGUUAAGGAAGAACGUGUGUGAGAGUGGAAAGUUCACACAGUGACGGUACUUAACCAGAAAGGGACGGCUAACUACGUGCCAGCAGCCGCGGUAAUACGUAGGUCCCGAGCGUUGUCCGGAUUUAUUGGGCGUAAAGCGAGCGCAGGCGGUUAGAUAAGUCUGAAGUGAAAGGCAGUGGCUCAACCAUUGUAGGCUUUGGAAACUGUUUAACUUGAGUGCAGAAGGGGAGAGUGGAAUUCCAUGUGUAGCGGUGAAAUGCGUAGAUAUAUGGAGGAACACCGGUGGCGAAAGCGGCUCUCUGGUCUGUAACUGACGCUGAGGCUCGAAAGCGUGGGGAGCGAACAGGAUUAGAUACCCUGGUAGUCCACGCCGUAAACGAUGAGUGCUAGGUGUUAGGGCCUUUCCGGGACUUA
rnacentral:rRNA from 1 species